GACGUAGGGCGCAAGCGUUUGUCCGGAUUUAUUGGGCGUAAAGAGCUCGUAGGCGGCUUGUUGCGUCGUCCGUGAAAACCUGUGGCUCAACUACAGGCUUGCGGUCGAUACGGGCGGGCUGGAGUUCGGUAGGGGAGACUGGAAUUCCUGGUGUAGCGGUGAAAUGCGCAGAUAUCAGGAGGAACACCGGUGGCGAAGGCGGGUCUCUGGGCCGAUACUGACGCUGAGGCACGAAAGCGUGGGUAGCAAACAGG
rnacentral:rRNA from 1 species